ensembl:snoRNA
CUGCAUGUGGAAAUGCCUUCUCCUCAUUGCUUUUGGAGGAGGAAUACAUCCAUAACAUGCUACACCAAAAAAAGGAGUUCUCAGGGCUGCCAACCUUACAGUAGAGGUUGAGUAGUAGUAUAUUUCUCCUACAUUU